AACAUGCCUGGCUUCAAGGACCCCCCACCUUGGGUCCAUUAAUUCCACCUGGGGCGCAAUAAAUUUUCCCUUCCUUUGAGAAAGCUUGGCCUGGCUCUUCUUUACCUCACCAAACCUUUCACACACAACUCAGAAAUCCACCUAGGCCGUGCCUGAGGUACAAAAAGGACGGCCACUGGAAAAGGGAUUGUCCCCUUCUCUGAAGGGAGGAGCCACCAGACCCCAGCCUGUUCCUCCUGGAUGACCAGUGACACCUCCUGGAUGACAAAUGAUGGGGCCCAAGGAUGUCGCCAGCUCCCCAGCUGACCAUCUCCAUGGCUGAGCCUGGGGUAACCCUGGAAGUCCCAGGAAGUGCACAGUAUUCAGAAAAAAGAGUAAUUGAGUCUACAUCAAAGAAGCAAAAAUUUCAAGAUGACGUCUAUAGCCUCAACUGCAAGUUACUUAGCAGUACUGAGUUCCUCACAGGUGUGACGAACAUAUGACGCUUACAAGUAAAAUUGAAAACAUGAAGGUGGCUGCGAGCGCUGUGAGUGAAAGAGGCUGAGGCACAUGGUGAGCGGUAAAGACUGAUACAGCAGACUGUGCCUGGG